AUCUGUAAUUUCCAAUUUACUUUGGACUACCCACUUCGAAACGGGUUCCGACCCAGGAACAUUUGCUGCUAUUUUCUUCGGCGUUUGAUGAAAAAUCCGAAGGAAAACGGGCGACCCAUCACUCCUUAUGAAAUUACUUAUGAAAUUAUGCUGCAGUUGCCACGAUCCAUAGUUUCAGGGGAGGUUUCCUCCAUCUUUCACCAGUCUCCAAAUAUUCAAAUUCGAAUUCAGCAUCAUCUGCGGUUCAUCAGAGUUCAUUCAUCGACGUGCAACGGAUAAGGAUGGCAGUAUGUGUUUCUUCGUAGUAAUCAAUGGACAAUCCACCAUCUCCAUCAUCCAAUUCUCCGAGAUCGGCAAGUAGGUUAAACUGUAACUGUAACUGUAAUUGCAGCAGCGGCGUGUUUGUAAUUCACACUGCACUCCAUGAUAUGUGAACCAUGUUACUUCAGCGACAUAUGAGCGGAGAUUCCAAUGUAUAGGCAAGCAGUUUUCAAGGAUUUUUAUACUGAUGAUACUUAUAAUUCUGUAUGACCCGGACUCUGGUGGAUCAUCCGAGGAUCAUUUCAAAAUCUGCGGCACGUAAAGCUCUCCAUGAUUUCAACCACCUCUUUCUCAGUGAUUUUCGAAUUUCACUAACCCAGGCACAUUCGUAUCUUCCCCUGCAUUGUUCUGAUCAUACUUCUUAUGUUUAUUUCAUCGUGUCACACCUCUGUAUGAUACUUAUACUUUUUAUGUUUAUCAACUCAAACCUCAUGUAUGAUAAUGCGUCAUUUUCUAUCCAUGACGUUUAAAAUAAAUUAUAACUCUGUGUUUUUAUUAUACUGUAUUUCUGAGUAUUUCAUUGUUAACUUCGAUUUCAGGUUCCAAUACUACACCUGGUACUUGGUCUCAAAUCACUAAUCGAAGUCAUGGAGUCAGGAAUUCAACUCAGACAGAAGGCACUACCGGUCUUGGUGGUGGUCAAGGAUAUCUGACACCAUCAUAGAGGCAGCUGCAUGGCAUUGAUCUUUCUGGAUCAGGCGAGAUCUCAGAGAAGGGCACAUUAAUUGGCAAUCCGAGCUAUUUUUCAAUUGUUGAUUGUCUUUUGAUCAAUAAUUCUCGGUGAUUGUUUAAACUGGAUACAAGACACAAUUAACGUAAACUCAAUACCGGGUCUCUCAAUUUAUUGGACCGUCAUACCCCGGAAAAUACUACAAGUAUGUCUAGCCCUGAUUCGGAAAUCACUGUCGUGGUUCCUGAGCUGGAAAAAAUCGGUGUUAGGCGUCCAGCCUGGCUUUCCGUCAAUUUGUGAGUGGCUAAGAAGAAUGACAGGGCACUUACUGAUGGUGGGUAUGAUCAAUGAGGGGCCCCUUGAUCAGCAAAAGCUCAAGCGUCUGAUCAAGCCUAUUGAUGGAAGGUGAGAUCGUAUUGGUUGCUAUUGAGAAGCUUAAUAAGGACGGAUUUCAGGUAGUGUGUUGACGGGACGUGACCAACAGAGUAAUGUGAAAAACACCCACCUUCCUCUUGGUAGCUUGCAAGGUCGUUUCCUGAGUCCUGAAUACCGAUGACAUACAGGGGUUCGGGCUCUGUCAUAGAGGUCUUAUGUUCAAAAGAAACAUAACAAAAGAAAAAUUAGACAGUCUUAUGUUCUGGGAUUUGGGGUUUGAGUUAGCAAUCGACAGUGCAUAUAAAGUGUUUGAUGUGUGUUAAUUUUGUUUUAUUUUUGUUGCAUACUUGAACCGAUAAUAAGAAAUGAGCUAGAUAAUUAAUCCUCAAGUCUUGCAUUUGUCAAUACCCAGGUGGGAUUAUUUAUAUUACUCAUUAUAAUGCAUGAUUGAUUUUGUCUUUUUAAUUGAUUUUAGGAACUUUGGAUUCAAGCAGAACUCUUGGCAAUUUAAGCACAACCUAAUUUGAUUUUCUGUUGAACUUAUUUGCAGAACUCUAUACAAGCAGGAUUGGCCUCAACCCAGCAAAGUUAUGUCUUGCAAUCCACAAGUCGGGGUGCAGCAACACCGGCUCCGAGACGGUCAUGUUGCAGUUCAUGAGAUGUAUGCUUCAAGUGAGAACGUGAAUCCAAAUACAACAUCCAGAAUAAAGCUUGCGUUUGGUACAUCAUCUCAUCUUCAGUGCAAGAAAUAUGGGAGUCAACACCAUGCAUCAGGUUCACGUCUGGAAACUCUAACUCUCGCCGAUAAUUAAUGCCAGAUGCCAUCGCAUCCUACCUAAGCAUCAGGUUCCAAUAUUCCAAAUCGAACUCAAUCCAAUCAUCCAUGUCAUGGGUUUCAAAAAUUAACUCAAGCCUCACGAUAUGAUGCUGCAUCAUUGUCUAAUCAUGACGUUUAGUCCAAAUUUGUAUCUUUAUUUUUAUACAUGUGUAUUCUGAGUAUUGCCUGGUAUUGUAGGUUCCCAAAAAUGUUCCUGUAAUACUUUCAUGUAGCUCAGAAAUGUUCCGGUAGCUUUCAUAUAUUGUAUUAAGAUUGCUAUAGAAUGUGACUUUUUCUUACUCAAUAUAGACCUCAUCUUCUUGAAAA